GAUGAACGCUAGCGAUAGGCUUAACACAUGCAAGUCGAGGGGCAGCAUGGUCUUAGCUUGCUAAGACUGAUGGCGACCGGCGCACGGGUGCGUAACGCGUAUGCAACUUGCCUCACAGAGGGGGAUAACCCGUCGAAAGACGGACUAAUACCGCGUACACUCCACUUUGGGCAUCCAAAGUAGAGGAAAUGAAAUUCGCUGUGAGAUAGGCAUGCGUCCCAUUAGCUAGUUGGUGAGGUAACGGCUCACCAAGGCGACGAUGGGUAGGGGAACUGAGAGGUUGAACCCCCACACUGGUACUGAGACACGGACCAGACUCCUACGGGAGGCAGCAGUGAGGAAUAUUGGUCAAUGGGCGAGAGCCUGAACCAGCCAAGUCGCGUGAAGGAUGACUGUCUUAUGGAUUGUAAACUUCUUUUAUACGGGAAUAACAAGAGCCACGUGUGGCUCCCUGCAUGUACCGUAUGAAUAAGCAUCGGCUAACUCCGUGCCAGCAGCCGCGGUAAUACGGAGGAUGCGAGCGUUAUCCGGAUUUAUUGGGUUUAAAGGGUGCGUAGGCGGCCUGUUAAGUCAGCGGUGAAAUCUAGGAGCUUAACUCCUAAAUUGCCAUUGAUACUGGCGGGCUUGAGUGUAGAUGAGGUAGGCGGAAUGCGUGGUGUAGCGGUGGAAUGCAUAGAUAUCACGCAGAACUCCGAUUGCGAAGGCAGCUUACUAAGGUACAACUGACGCUGAGGCACGAAAGCGUGGGUAUCAAACAGGAUUAGAUACCCUGGUAGUCCACGCAGCAAACGAUGAUAACUGGGCGUAUGCGAUAUACAGUAUGCUCCUAAGCGAAA
rnacentral:rRNA from 1 species